GUUUUCUGUGAUGAUUUGUUAUCCACCAAGAUUUGACCUGUUUUCAUGAAAACAGCUCAACAUGCACUACCAUCUGAGAUAAC